GGGUCUCUGUUUACGUAACUGUUCUUGUCAAAUUACCAGUACGGAUCUGAGGCCCUUUGCUUCAAAGGUCCGGUGUAAAGCUACAUAUCUUCUUCAAGGAACUUCAAGUAGAUGAUUAAGGUAGGCCUUCCUUGAGCCGCUAGGUAUUGUUCUGGGAACUCUUCUCAUCUGCUUUACUUAAUACAGCCAGAAUAAGAACAUCUGGCGUAUAAUUUGUCUUUAUUCAGUGACGAGUCCAAGGCUGUUCUAACUCGCGAAGCAGCCAACAGGGGAUUUGGCUUGUUUAGUUCAGACGAUACUCAGCUGUGACUCCUUCCAGCACUAGAGUUACUCAAAGCCAAGUAAUACCAUUUUCGUUGUCAUCAUGGUUAUUUUGGACACUUAACUGUUUCCUAUGGAUCGGUGCUUGAAGAGUGUUUAUGGAAGGCAAAGAUAGCUGCCCUUUUGGAUGUCCGGUGAAGUAUGAUGAUGUCCCAGCCAUUUUGCCUGUAAGCAAGUCUUUUUUGUGUAAAUGUUGGCAAUAUCAGACCUGGAGAUUAACAAACUGUGUCUCGGGGUGACUGGGCAGAAGUAGUCCUGUGAACUUGCUAGAUUUUUUGCUUCACUGUUCUCGUAAUCUUCUGAACUAUACAUGUCGGGUGAUUGUCAACAAUUUUUUGGCGAGAUGUUGAAGAAUGAAUGAUGUACAGUGCAAAUCAAGAAUGAAGUCAAUAUUUUCUUUUACUA